GACGAACGCUGGCGGCGUGCUUAACACAUGCAAGUCGAACGGUGAACGAGGGAGCUUGCUCCCUCCGGAUCAGUGGCGAACGGGUGAGUAACACGUGCGCAAUCCGCCCCGAACUCUGGGAUAAGCGUUGGAAACGACGUCUAAUACCGGAUACGACGCGCGAGGGCAUCCUCUCCGCGUGGAAAGAACUUCGGUUCGGGAUGAGCUCGCGUCCUAUCAGCUUGUUGGUGAGGUAACGGCUCACCAAGGCGACGACGGGUAGCCGGCCUGAGAGGGUGACCGGCCACACUGGGACUGAGACACGGCCCAGACUCCUACGGGAGGCAGCAGUGGGGAAUAUUGCACAAUGGGCGCAAGCCUGAUGCAGCAACGCCGCGUGAGGGACGACGGCCUUCGGGUUGUAAACCUCUUUUAGCAGGGAAGAAGCGAAAGUGACGGUACCUGCAGAAAAAGCACCGGCUAACUACGUG
rnacentral:rRNA from 1 species